UACGAACGCUGGCGGCAGGCUUAACACAUGCAAGUCGAGCGCAUCCUUCGGGGUGAGCGGCAGACGGGUGAGUGACGCGUGGGAACGUACCCUUUCCUACGGAAUAGCUCCGGGAAACUGGAAUUAAUACCGUAUACGCCCUUAGGGGGAAAGAUUUACCGGGGAAGGAUCGGCCCGCGUUGGAUUAGCUAGUUGGUGGGGUAAAGGCCUACCAAGGCGACGAUCCAUAGCUGGUCUGAGAGGAUGAUCAGCCACAUUGGGACUGAGACACGGCCCAAACUCCUACGGGAGGCAGCAGUGGGGAAUAUUGGACAAUGGGCGCAAGCCUGAUCCAGCCAUGCCGCGUGAGUGAUGAAGGCCUUAGGGUUGUAAAGCUCUUUCAGUAGGGAAGAUAAUGACGGUACCUACAGAAGAAGCCCCGGCUAACUUCGUGCCAGCAGCCGCCGUAA
rnacentral:rRNA from 1 species